rnacentral:rRNA from 1 species
UACGUAGGGUGCAAGCGUUGUCCGGAAUCAUUGGGCGUAAAGCGCGCGUAGGUGGCCAUUUAAGUCCGCUGUGAAAGUCAAAGGCUCAACCUUUGAAAGCCGGUGGAUACUGGGUGGCUAGAGUACGGAAGAGGCGAGUGGAAUUCCUGGUGUAGCGGUGGAAUGCGCAGAUAUCAGGAGGAACACCAAUAGCGAAGGCAGCUCGCUGGGACGUUACUGACACUGAGGCGCGAAAGCGUGGGGAGCGAACAGG